AUUGAACGCUGGCGGAAUGCUUUACACAUGCAAGUCGAGCGGCAGCGCGGGGGCAACCCUGGCGGCGAGCGGCGAACGGGUGAGUAACAUAUCGGAACGUACCCAGUCGUGGGGGAUAACUAUCCGAAAGGAUAGCUAAUACCGCAUACGACCCGAGGGUGAAAGCGGGGGACCGAAAGGCCUCGCGCGAUUGGAGCGGCCGAUAUCGGAUUAGCUAGUUGGUGAGGUAAAGGCUCACCAAGGCGACGAUCCGUAGCUGGUCUGAGAGGACGACCAGCCACACUGGAACUGAGACACGGUCCAGACUCCUACGGAGGCAGCAGUGGGGGAAUUUUGGACGAAUGGGGGCGAACCCUGAUCCAGCCAUUCCGCGUGAGUGAAGAAGGCCUUCGGUUGUCG
rnacentral:rRNA from 1 species